rnacentral:rRNA from 1 species
GACGAACGCUGGCGGCGUGCUUAACACAUGCAAGUCGAGCGGAAAGGCCUCUUCGGGGGUACUCGAGCGGCGAACGGGUGAGUAACAAGUGAGUAAUCUGACUCUGGCUUCGGGAUAGACACUGGCAACGGUGAUCAAUACCGGAUAAGACGCAUCACUGCAUGGUGCGUGUGUGGAAAGUUUUUUCGGACAGGGAUGUGCUCGCGGCCUAUCAGCUUGUUGGUGGGGUAAUGGCCUACCAAGGCUUCGACGGGUAGCCGGCCUGAGAGGGUGACCGGCCACACUGGGACUGAGACACGGCCCAGACUCCUACGGGAGGCAGCAGUGGGGAAUAUUGGACAACGGGCGGAAGCCUGAUCCAGCAACGCCGCGUGAGGGAUGACGGCCUUCGGGUUGUAAACCUCUUUCAGCACAGACGAAGCGCAAGUGACGGUAUGUGCAGAAGAAGGACCGGCCAACUACGUGCCAGCCGCCGCGGUAAGAC